GCGUUGAAGCGGGAGGUUGCGGCUAAUAGCCGGUUUUUCCGUGGAGUAUGUCCGAUUUUAAACCGGGCGA
rnacentral:ncRNA from 1 species